AUCCAUGGCGGCAGCUUACCAUGCAGUCGAGCGGUAACAGGGGUAGCUUGCUACCCGCUGACGAGCGGCGGACGGGUGAGUAAUGCAUAGGAAACUGCCCAGUAGUGGGGGAUAGCCCGGGGAAACCCGGAUUAAUACCGCAUACGUCCUUCGGGAGAAAGCAGGGGAUCUUCGGACCUUGCGCUAUUGGAUGUGCCUAUGUCGGAUUAGCUGGUUGGUGAGGUAAUGGCUCACCAAGGCGACGAUCCGUAGCUGGUCUGAGAGGAUGAUCAGCCACAUCGGGACUGAGACACGGCCCGAACUCCUACGGGAGGCAGCAGUGGGGAAUAUUGGACAAUGGGGGCAACCCUGAUCCAGCCAUGCCGCGUGUGUGAAGAAGGCUUUCGGGUUGUAAAGCACUUUCAGUGAGGAGGAAAAGUUAGUCCUUAAUACGGGCUAGCCUUGACGUUACUCACAGAAGAAGCACCGGCUAACUCCGUGCCAGCAGCCGCGGUAAUACGGAGGGUGCAAGCGUUAAUCGGAAUUACUGGGCGUAAAGCGCGCGUAGGUGGUUUGAUAAGCGAGAUGUGAAAGCCCCGGGCUUAACCUGGGAACGGCAUUUCGAACUGUCAGGCUAGAGUGUGGUAGAGGGUAGUGGAAUUUCCUGUGUAGCGGUGAAAUGCGUAGAUAUAGGAAGGAACACCAGUGGCGAAGGCGGCUACCUGGACCAACACUGACACUGAGGUGCGAAAGCGUGGGGAGCAAACAGGAUUAGAUAUCCUUUGGUAGUCA
rnacentral:rRNA from 1 species